rnacentral:lncRNA from 1 species
AUGCUUAUGACUGAAUUGGAAUAUGAUGGUCAGGAAAGCCAACUACUAAGAAUUCAUCUGCAGUCGGAAAAGGCCUCUGCCACACAGCAGUCAGUCACCUACAAUGAAUACAUUCCCAGGCCUCGGGCUUCAAGCAUGAGUAUUUUGGAAACCUCUCCAGCGACUUGGAUAUACUCCUCACUGCACACCUCAUGGCUAGAAGGGACCAUCUGGGAGAGGAAGUUGUUUGUUUCUUAUUAUUUUCCCAACUCUUUCCUGCAAGAAAGGACCCAGCUCAUUUCCAUCCAAACGUGGGCAAACCGAGGUCGCCAAUACAGUUUGAGAAAUACAAGAAAUCUGCUCAUUCAUGCAAGCCUCUUCACUUUUGGCUACGUCCAGGCUCCUUCCUGA